rnacentral:rRNA from 1 species
AAACCAACAGGGAUUGCCUCAGUAACGGCGAGUGAAGCGGCAACAGCUCAAAUUUGAAAUCUGGCCCUAGGCCCGAGUUGUAAUUUGCAGAGGAUGCUUUUGGUGCGGUGCCUUCCAAGUUCCCUAGAACGGGACGCCAGAGAGGGUGAGAGCCCCGUACAGUUGGACACCAAGCCUUUGUAAAGCUCCUUCGACGAGUCGAGUAGUUUGGGAAUGCUGCUCAAAAUGGGAGGUAUAUUUCUUCUAAAGCUAAAUACCGGCCAGAGACCGAUAGCGCACAAGUAGAGUGAUCGAAAGAUGAAAAGCACUUUGAAAAGAGGGUUAAACAGCACGUGAAAUUGUUAAAAGGGAAGCGCUUGUGACCAGACUUGCGUCCGGUGAAUCACCCAGCUCUCGCGGCUGGGGCACUUCGCCGGCUCAGGCCAGCAUCAGCUCGCUGUCGGGGACAAAAGCUUCGGGAACGUAGCUCUCUUCGGGGAGUGUUAUGGCCUGUUGCACAAUACCCUUCGGCGGGCUGAGGUACGCGCUCCGCAAGGAUGCUGGCAUAAUGGUCAUCAGCGAC